AGACGUCUAACAUUAGAUACCCGGGUAGUCCCAGCCGUAAACUAUGCGCGUUAGGUGUAUCGGUGACCACGAGUCACCGAGGUGCCGAAGGGAAACCGUGAAACGUGCCGCCUGGGAAGUACGGUCGCAAGGCUGAAACUUAAAGGAAUUGGCGGGGAGCACCACAACGGGUGGAGCCUGCGGUUUAAUUGGACUCAACGCCGGGAAGCUCACCGGAUAAGACAGCGGAAUGAUUGCCGGGCUGAAGACUCUGCAUGACUAGCUG
rnacentral:rRNA from 1 species